GAUGAACGCUGGCGGCGUGCCUAAUACAUGCAAGUCGAGCGAACAGACGAGGAGCUUGCUCCUCUGACGUUAGCGGCGGACGGGUGAGUAACACGUGGAUAACCUACCUAUAAGACUGGGAUAACUUCGGGAAACCGGAGCUAAUACCAGAUAAUAUAUUGAACCGCAUGGUUCAAUAGUGAAAGACGGUUUUGCUGUCACUUAUAGCUGGAUCCGCGCCGCAUUAGCUAGUUGGUAAGGUAACGGCUUACCAAGGCAACGAUGCGUAGCCGACCUGAGAGGGUGAUCGGCCACACUGGAACUGAGACACGGUCCAGACUCCUACGGGAGGCAGCAGUAGGGAAUCUUCCGCAAUGGGCGCAAGCCUGACGGAGCAACGCCGCGUGAGUGAUGAAGGUCUUCGGAUCGUAAAACUCUGUUAUUAGGGAAGAACAAAUGUGUAAGUAACUAUGCACGUCUUGACGGUACCUAAUCAGAAAGCCACGGCUAACUACGUG
rnacentral:rRNA from 1 species